UAAGGAAUAUUGGUCAAUGGACGCAAGUCUGAACCAGCCAUGCCGCGUGGAGGAUGAAGGUCCUCUGGAUUGUAAACUUCUUUUAUCUGGGACGAAACACUUCUUUUCUAAGAGGCCUGACGGUACCAGAUGAAUAAGCACCGGCUAACUCCGUGCCAGCAGCCGCGGUAAUACGGAGGGUGCAAGCGUUAUCCGGAUUCACUGGGUUUAAAGGGUGCGUAGGUGGGUAUGUAAGUCAGUGGUGAAAUCCCCGAGCUUAACUUGGGAACUGCCAUUGAUACUAUAUAUCUUGAAUACCGUAGAGGUAAGCAGAAUAUGUCCUGUAGCGGUGAAAUGCUUAGAUAUGACAUGGAACACCAAUUGCGAAGGCAGCUUACUAUGCGGUGAUUGACACUGAGGCACGAAAGCGUGGGUAGCAAACA
rnacentral:rRNA from 1 species